rnacentral:pre_miRNA from 12 species
UCUCUCUCUCUCUCUCUCUCUCUCUCUCUCUCUCUCGCAUCUUAAAGAAAGUCAUUGAAAGAGGAGCGAGAGAGAGAGAGAAUGAAAAAUUA